GACGCGAUACCAAAGUGGUUAAUGGGUUCGGUUGCUAACUGAAUGGGCUUUGCCCGCGGAGGUUCGAUCCCUCCUCGCGUCGUCA
rnacentral:tRNA from 1 species